GAAAACAAGUCAAUAUGACAUUGCUUUAUGAUUCAGGCUACUGUAUGCUCUCUAAAGACAUAUACACACAUACCUGUGUGGUUAUGGCAAUGCAUAUACAGUAUACUAGUAGAUAAUGAGAAUUUUCUCUGUCCCUGACAUCUGGCCAACUAGGCAGAUACUACCUCAUUUCAUAGAUAUGGGGGUGAAGCUAUACCUUCUCUGGGGUCACUUAGCCCUCUGGACUCUUAUCUACUCUUGUGUCAGCAACAUCUCCUGCCUCAUGUCCCCAUCUCUGUUCUAAUACAACGUCCUUCUGAUGUGCCUGUAUCUGCCUCCUCCUGUGUCUGUUUCUUCCUUCCUAUUCAUAAAGACAUAGAACCUAAAUCCAGUAGAUCCUAGUUUUACCAAGUACAGUGGCAACAACUCUAUUUCCAAAUAAGGCCGGAGAGUGAGUGUUGGUGUUAGGCCUUCAACAAAUAGCCAACACGGGCAUAGUUCAACCUUCAGCAGUGAUUUCUAAGACAUCCAGUUCUGCCAGCUAGUCCUCACCAGGACAGCGCUUAUAAAGCCCCAAACUGGACACAGCAUGAACGAGACCAACUACUGUUUGAGCCACUGUGAUCAAGCAAUGUAAAUAUCACUAUAGUUUCAUAUUUACUUUUGCCUUGUAACAUGUAUGACAUACACUGUGCACUGUGUUAAAGUCUGAUAAUUACCCAUCAGCCGUCCUCCCUUCCCUCAGAGACAAGAGUACAGCCCAAGGCAGCCCUACUGUAGUGAUGUGUCACCAAUGAGGUGUUAGGGGGAAAGUGAAGUUUCUGGGUGGCAUCCAGGAGAGGAACCUGUUGUCCUUUCUUCCCUCUUUCCCUCACAGGAGCUGAGAGGGGAGCUCGUUUCAUCCCAGCAGAGGAAGGCAGUACUGAAGUGAAUGGUAGGGCCUGGAAGCGGCUGGGUCCUGCUUCCUGGAGUGUCAAGGGAAAGGACAGUUGUCUACUACCCUGCACUACUUGUCUGUCCUCCCUCUGAGACGGGAAUCAGUGGUUUUCCUAUUCAAGUCCUUGGUGUUCUAAGACACCUUGCUAUAGCAGCCUCGCUCAUGCUUUAAGUGAUGUGCUUUCCAGUUGGAAAGUUCCUCCAGCUUCUCUCCUCCUCUGCCUCCUUCUGACAUUCUCAUAUUGUCGGGUAUUUCUGUUCUUGCUUUUAGAUUUUUCUUAUGGCUGCUUUUAUGGCUUUAAAUAAAAAGCAAAAACACCCCUCUACGCCUCCACUCUUCCUCUACCAACUGGAAUGCGCAAUUUGUAAGAUGAAUAGGGGAAGGCUUCUAUUUCGUCUUCUACAUCUUGCUUUCUGUCAGCUGCAACGUCACAAGGUAGCUAACAUUUACAUUAUAGCCGACGACCACAAACAAAUUUGUUCAGGUGCAUUCCCAAAGUUUAAAAGGAAAAGGCUGUGUUUACGCACUGUGUAAAUAGUGUUCACCGAGGGCCAAGUAGAAUAUGAGGAACAUUUCCUUCUUUGUGGUACAAAGAGUGUAAGGUGACCCCUGGGCCACUUGGACCAGGACAACAACAAUUAAAUUAUUCAAUGAUGUCAAUUCUGUAAAAUCCAGUGGAUUUAUUUGCUCACACAUAUGUAACAUGUGCCGAUUUCAGAGGCUGUGAAGGAUGUUGGGAACUGAGGGAUUGUUCUGAAUCCCUGUCCUUCCAGGUGACAGUUCUCUGAGGAAAGACAGACAGAAACCCAACAAAAUGUUCAAGGUGUUGAUACAAACAGUAAGGGGACAGAGAAAGCAGAGAGUGGGACAGUGUGUCCACACAAGUGUCCGCAAGUGUUGCAGCAGCACAGUAAGAAAGGACUUGAGUGGAGGGCAGAAGAAUAAACGUCACAGCGAAGGGGAACAUCUCGGCCGAGGUGGUGGGAGGAGAAACUUAUGAGAGGAAAGUUUUCCAGAUUAAAUAGUCAUUUCUGGGGCUGGAGAGAUGGCUCAGUGGUUAAGAGUACCCGACUACUCUUCCAGAGGUCCUGAGUUCAAUUCCCAGCAACCACAUGGUGGCUCAUGACCAUCUGUAAUGAGAUCCAAUGCCCUCUUCUGGUGUAUCUGAUGACAGCUACAGUGUACUUAUAUAUAAAUAGUCAUUUCUGUUGCUAUGAUCAAAUACCUUGACAAAAGGCAAACUGGGGAGAAGGGUUUAUUCCUGUGUGCAGUUCCAGGGAAAAGGAGUCAUAGUGGAGAAGACACAGCCACAGGCUGGGGGUGCGCGGCAGCAGGAUUAGGACGCAGGUGGGUCACAUUUCACCAGACUUUGGAAACAGAGAGCCAGGGCAGGAAGUGGAAUGAGGCUAUCAGUCCUCCAAGCCUACGUCCGGUGACGUACAUCCUCCUGAAUGGCUCCACCUCCCUCUAAGCCUACGCCCCAUGACAUACUUCCCUCUCAGUGACGUACUUCCUCCUGCAUGGCCCCACCUCCAUAACCUUUCCAAACUGUACUACCAGCUAGAGAACAAGUCCUCAAGCACACAAGCCUAUCCGGGAUAUUCAUAUUCAAAUCACAACAGGAGCUAAUGGAGAGUAAGGAGGAUAUCGGCCGUGAGUUCAGGAAGACACUCUGAUCAACCGGUUGUAGGUCCUGGGCUAUUGACCAGUUAUUAGAACAAUGGAACUGAAAAGGCAGAGAAUCGAUGUUCUUCUGACGGGCCUCAGGGGACCCUCCGGUGGAAUAAAGACAUCAUAUUUCUCUUCCUGGUUGACAAAUAUCCGUGGGAUUCCUAUCUACACUGAACAGUCAGCCCCUACCAGUCAUCUGUGUUUGUGCUCACUUCUACCACUUAUUGAAAUGAUAUGAUUUAAUCACGUUUUUAAGUUCACCACAGAUGCAGUAAGGAGGGCUGCCACCCAGUUUCACGUGCUACUGCCCAGCUAAGUGCCUGGAAAUGACUGGUAAAACCACUGAGCCUGCAAGAAUUCUAUUUUCAGUCCACCAGAGAAAAGAUGUUUCCUAUUUCUUUCCAGUGUAGCAUGGCCUUUGACAUCAUUAAGGGGAUUGGUUUUGAUGAACCACAGAAUAGCUGGUGAUGCCAUGUCUAUGGAAACAGAGAUGGGCCUGUUAACACUCCGUUCAAGAACAUGGGAAGGGUCAGAAGACACUCACCUGAGGCUCUAGAAAUUACUGCACAGAUGUAUGGAGUCUAGGCAGAGUACAUUGUAUAGGCAGAUGAGCUGGAGUGGGGUUCUAGUGGUCCCCCUUUCCUGAAUUGUACCCGUGCCUGGAUGAAAAUUUUUGGUGAUGUGGGCUACCCAUGAGUCAUUUGUGCUCCUGUAAGUGACUCAAAUAAACUCAUUGACUCACCAGGCUGGAUUGACACAGAA